rnacentral:rRNA from 1 species
UACGAAGGGGGCUAGCGUUGUUCGGAAUUACUGGGCGUAAAGCGCGUGUAGGCGGGUCUUUAGGUCAGGGGUGAAAUGCCAAGGCUCAACCUUGGAACUGCCUUUGAUACUGGAGAUCUUGAGUCCGGGAGAGGUGAGUGGAACUGCGAGUGUAGAGGUGAAAUUCGUAGAUAUUCGCAAGAACACCAGUGGCGAAGGCGGCUCACUGGCCCGGAACUGACGCUGAGACGCGAAAGCGUGGGGAGCAAACAGG